UAGGGAAUCUUCGGCAAUGGACGAAAGUCUGACCGAGCAACGCCGCGUGAGUGAAGAAGGUUUUCGGAUCGUUAAACUCUGUUGUUAGAGAAGAACAAGGACGUUAGUAACUGAACGUCCCCUGACGGUAUCUAACCAGAAAGCUACGGCUAACUACGUGCCAGCAGCCGCGGUAAUACGUAGGUGGCAAGCGUUGUCCGGAUUUAUUGGGCGUAAAGCGAGCGCAGGCGGUUUCUUAAGUCUGAUGUGAAAGCCCCCGGCUCAACCGGGGAGGGUCAUUGGAAACUGGGAGACUUGAGUGCAGAAGAGGAGAGUGGAAUUCCAUGUGUAGCGGUGACAUGCGUAGAUAUAUGGAGGAACACCAGUAGAGAAGGCGGCUCUCUGGUCUGUCACUGACGCUGAGGCUCGAAAGCGUGGGGAGCAAACAGG
rnacentral:rRNA from 1 species